CUGGCCCUGAAUCAAGGCCAGCAGCUUCCUGACGCUGUUGGUUUCAAGCAGGAGCCUAAAGAGAUGUCUUUCUAUGAUCUGUUGGCCAUUUCAGAACUUGGGCAGUGAAAUGGUCAAUUCAUUAGAAAGAAACAGCU
ensembl:snoRNA